rnacentral:rRNA from 1 species
AUUGAACGCUGGCGGCAGGCCUAACACAUGCAAGUCGAGCGAGCGGCGGACGGGUGAGUAAUGUAUGGGGAUCUGACCGAGAGAGAGGGAUAACUACUGGGAACGGAGGCUAAUACCGCAUAAUAUCGGAUGAACCCAUAUGGUAUUAGCUAGUAGGUGGGGUAAAGGCGAACCUAGGCGACUAUCCCUAGCUGGUCUGAGAGGAGGAUCAGCCACACUGGGACUGAGACACGGCCCAGACUCCUACGGGAGGCAGCAGUGGGGAAUAUUGCACAAUGGGCGCAAGCCUGAUGCAGCCAUGCCGCGUGUGUGAAGAAGGUCUUCGGGUUGUAAAGUACUUUCAGCGGGGAGGCGUUACCAGCAGAAGAAGCACCGGCUAACUCCGUGCCAGCAGCCGCGGUAAUUC